UUCUGAAAUGUUGACCUCGGAUCAGGUAGGAAUACCCGCUGAACUUAAGCAUAUCAAUAAGCGGAGGAAAAGAAACCAACAGGGAUUGCCCCAGUAACGGCGAGUGAAGCGGCAACAGCUCAAAUUUGAAAUCUGGUCCCCAGGGCCCGAGUUGUAAUUUGUAGAGGAUGCUUUUGGUGAGGUGCCGCCCGAGUUCCCUGGAACGGGACGCCACAGAGGGUGAGAGCCCCGUCUGGCUGGCCGCCGAGCCUCUGUAAAGCUCCUUCGACGAGUCGAGUAGUUUGGGAAUGCUGCUCAAAAUGGGAGGUAUAUGUCUUCUAAAGCUAAAUAUUGGCCAGAGACCGAUAGCGCACAAGUAGAGUGAUCGAAAGAUGAAAAGCACCUUGAAAAGAGGGUUAAAUAGUACGUGAAAUUGUUGAAAGGGAAGCGCUUGUGACCAGACUUGGGCGCGGCGGAUCAUCCGGGGUUCUCUCCGGUGCACUUCGCCGCGUCUAGGCCAGCAUCAGUUCGUCGCGGGGGAAAAAGGCUUCGGGAACGUGGCUCCUCCGGGAGUGUUAUAGCCCGUUGCAUAAUACCCUGCGGUGGACUGAGGACCGCGCAUCUGCAAGGAUGCUGGCGUAAUGGUCACCAGCGACCCGUCUUGAAACACGGACCAAGGAGUCGUCUUCGUAUGCGAGUGUUCGGGUGUCAAACCCCUACGCGUAAUGAAAGUGAACGCAGGUGAGAGCUUCGGCGCAUCAUCGACCGAUCCUGAUGUUCUCGGAUGGAUUUGAGUAAGAGCAUACGGGGCCGGACCCGAAAGAAGGUGAACUAUGCCUGUAUAGGGUGAAGCCAGAGGAAACUCUGGUGGAGGCUCGCAGCGGUUCUGACGUGCAAAUCGAUCGUCAAAUAUGGGCAUGGGGGCGAAAGACUAAUCGAACCUUCUAGUAGCUGGUU
rnacentral:rRNA from 1 species